AGAGAUUUGUAGCUGUAAUUAGCUUUAGCUAGGUGACGUUAGCUAGCUAGCAAUAUGUUUUUAGCAUCAGGUGCUAGCAAUAUGUUUUUAGCAUCAGGUUACUAGUGAGAUAUGUUGUUUGCACAAAUUGUUUGCAGCAGAGCACGGUAAUUUAUUUGAGUAAAAUAAACAUUAUUUUUUACAUCAACUCAUAAGUUAUGUGAAACUUCCCCAGGAGCAUUGUUAAAAUACUUUGGAGGCACAGAAUCAGCCCAGAGCCAGUCCACAUCCUCAGGCUCAACUGUGAGUGAUGAAUCAGGUCCAUCUCCAUCCUCUACAGUGCUCUCUCACACACCUCCACCCUCUGUGCCCACUGUCCCCUCCAUGUCUGAAACCACAGCUGAUUUAUCUACAACUUCCACCACAACGUCCCCUUCACACCAUGGACCAUCAUCAGCUCCGCCAGUUGACCCAGCUGAGUGGCCUUCUUUCCUCUCAGAUUCAGACAGGACUGAGCAGGUGAUCAGAGGACCACUGUCUAUUAA